rnacentral:rRNA from 1 species
CGGGUGAGUAACACGUGGUCAACCUACCGCUUUGUGGGGGAUAACCAGCCGAAAGGUUGGCUAAUACCGCAUACGUCGCGAUCGGCAUCGAUCGUUGAUAAAAGGAGCAAUUCGCAAGGCGACGGGACCGCGUCCCAUUAGCUAGUUGGUGAGGUAAUGGCCCACCAAGGCUCCGAUGGGUAGCUGGUUUGAGAGAGCGACCAGCCACACUGGAACUGAGAAACGGUCCAG